GUGUCAGCAGCCGCGGUAACACCAGCCCCUCGAGUGGUGGGGACUAUUAUUUGGCCUAAAGCGUCCGUAGCUGGCUGUAUCCGUCCCCCGUUAAAUCCAGCGUCCUAAGCGUUGGACCGCGGGUGAUACCAUACAGCUAGAGGGUGGGACAGGUGGGCGGUAUUUCUGGGGUAGGGGCGAAAUCCUUUGAUCCCAGGAGGACCACCAGUGGCGAAGGCUGCUCACUAGAACACGCCUGACGGUCAGGGACGAAAGCUGGGGCAGCGAACCGGAUUAGAUACCCGGGUAGUCCCAGCUGUAAACGAUGCUAGCUAGGUGUUGGGUCGGCCACGUGCCGCCCCAGUGCCGCAGGGAAGCCGUUAAGCUAGCCGCCUGGGGAGUACGGCCGCAAGGCUGAAACUUAAAUGAAUUGACGGGG
rnacentral:rRNA from 1 species